AUUGAACGCUGGCGGCAUGCCUUACACAUGCAAGUCGAACGGCAGCACGGGUGCUUGCACCUGGUGGCGAGUGGCGAACGGGUGAGUAAUACAUAGGAACAUGUCCUGAAGUGGGGGAUAGCCCGGCGAAAGCCGGAUUAAUACCGCAUACGAUCUACGGAUGAAAGCGGGGGACCUUGGGGCCUCGCGCUAUAGGGUUGGCAGAUGGCUGAUUAGCUAGUUGGUGGGGUAAAGGCCUACCAAGGCGACGAUCAGUAGCUGGUCUGAGAGGACGACCAGCCACACUGGGACUGAGACACGGCCCAGACUCCUACGGGAGGCAGCAGUGGGGAAUUUUGGACAAUGGGCGAAAGCCUGAUCCAGCAAUGCCGCGUGUGUGAAGAAGGCCUUCGGGUUGUAAAGCACUUUUGUCCGGAAAGAAAUCCUUGGCCCUAAUACGGUCGGGGGAUGACGGUACCGGAAGAAUAAGCACCGGCUAACUACGUG
rnacentral:rRNA from 1 species